ACAAAGCUUAAUUAUGGGGCCACUUAACUACGGCGUAUUUUAUUGCAAGUCUUUCGCUCUCACCACGGUGGCAAGGGCAACCACCACCAAAUCUACACCAAUUUUCAUAUUUUAGGCGGCCGGGAACUCGGUUCUUGGCCCAUCCGGAUGUCUGUCUUAAGCUUUUAAUCCUUGUCGAUGAGUACUGGUGCAUUAUCGGAACGUUGUACACACGCAUGGGCAUGGAUAACCAAAGCUUCUUGCAGAAAAGAGACACAAUCGGACAGAAACAUCAACAGGAGGUUUCAAAGGCCAUAGGCAGCAGGCAGAUUAGCACUGAUGCAUGGUAAAAUCAAGAUCAAACCCUUCGUCAAAAAGCCAAAGGGCACAUGUCGCGGGUUCACGCUACAUAACCCUCUUUGUCUAGUGAAAUUGGUCCCGACCCGUUGCUUUUAUUUUGAAAUAUGUUGGGAAAGAAAGAAAAGGAUGAGAAGAAAUGUCAGGCACGUGGUCUCGUGUAACAUAUUUUUGAGACCUUUGUUUUUGUGUUUUAUUUGCAUGUGACACUGCAUUCCAAAACAUUAACGUACGCAUCAAGGUCGCUCGAGGAUCGAUCGAUUGGCUCAAAGAAAAACGACGAAUCGAGGGAGCGCGUGGGUUGGUGGCUUCUCUGUACGUUCAUUGGAGAUAACAGAAAAAAAAACAGAAGGAAAAUUAAUUGGGCCACUCCAAGCCGUCCGAGCCCCCCCUUGCGUUUUCUCCACCUCUAGGUUGCCAAACCUGUAGCGCCGCCGCCGAUGCACCUCUGUUGCCCGAGCAAGGAGCAGCAACUCCUUUAGCCUCGCGCCGCCGUCGACCCGCCCUUCUCGUCGGCCGCGCCCCAUGCUAGCAGGUGGAUGGAGGCAUGGAGCCUCGUCAUCGUCAAGGGGACGAGGGUAGCAGCAGUCGCAGCAGGUGGCGAUGGUGGUGAAAGCGUCGGAUGUGGGCUGCUUCAGCGGGAAUGGCGCAAGGCCACCGCUUCUUCUACUGCGGCGCUUCAAAACGGCGUCUCUGCAGGCUUAAUGGUUCUAGUUCAGGUAGAAGAGCUCCAGCCUUAGAAGAUUUCUGGGAGAAUCGAAAGCACUUGCCUUUGGAAUUAAAGAAGAUCAGUUUAUGACACUGACAUCCAGAGAUCAUAACAAGGGAUUUCAGGGCUAGCAAAUAUGCUAAACAUAAAUACAGAGAAGGCAAUCAGUGCAGUGGAUUUCCGAUAUUGAUGCGAGAAAAAUGCCUUUGGAUCAAAGCCCACUAAGGACAGCGCGACGACUGUGCCGCACGUGAAGAGCAUGGUCAUGUCAUGGGACCACACAUCUGUGGUGGUCCGCUUGCCUUCUAUGGCGUCCAACACGACUACACCCUUUUACUCGGCCUGUUGUAAGAUAUGGUUCCCCGCCUAAUUAAUUUGUUCCUUCUUCCAAGUUCUUACAUAGUGUAUGUUCCUUUCUGUGUAGCGGAUUGGACUGGGCAGGGUGCUCUUUUGCUUUAAAGAUAGGAUAGGUGGAUGUAUUUGGUUUUAUGAUGGCCAGGUUGAUCAAAAUCACAUGGUCGUUUUUCAAGUUUGAGAAGAAAAAGACACUAGAACAGCCUGCUAUGGUCAAAAUGCCUGAACCUAAGCAUAUGCUACCACAGUACCUACGUUUCUCUGUAGAAAAGGUCAAGUGUAAUCCUUGGGCUACUGAAUUUUAGCCCCUUCACUGGUUAAACAAUGGUUAUCUACACGUUUAUGACUGAUGUUUCACAACGGAGGGAGUAUUUAGGAAUGCAUACAAGCAAUUCCUGUACGAAGCAACACCACAUAAGCUCUAUAUUUCAGAACAAGCAUUCUGCAUUUUCAGAGAUUAAUCUGUGUCGAUAUAUUCAGUGUUUAAGAAGGGCGAUCGAUGCGCUUUGGUGUGCAUGAUGACCAUACUUUAUCCGCCGCCGCCGCCACCGGAGGAAGGGCCCCUCCCGAGACCCGCUUCUCCCUCGAGUCAGGUCGUGUGGGCGCCAUCGUCGUCUUCUGCCUUCGGUGCGUGGCACCGCUGCAGGAGAGAGCGACGAGGAGGUCCAGCAGUCCGUGCCUUUGUCAUCGUGUGGCGCCAAAAGAAGGACGAGGAGGCGGAGCAGUUCGUGGUGUCUUCGUCAUCGCCGGCCGUGCUGGUGUGUUGUGCUCCUUUCCCUGCUCAGCCGCCUAUGCUACUCGACCACCACGGGAUACAAGUAUGGCCCUGCCAUGGCUGAGUGGAGGAUGAUCAGUUCGUCUGAAUUUUGCAAUUCUUCUUGGCCGUAGUUUUUAGGUAUUUUUGGCGAUCUAUGAUUUGUUCACUAUCUGGCCUCGUAUGAUGCGCCUUCCCGUGUUGACGUGGUGUGAUUGAUACGAUCUCGUGGCCGGUGGCUGAUAUCCCGGGCAGAUUCAGCUGAUACUGGUUUGGUAGGGUGAGAAAAACUGCGUAGUACACAUGCUAUAUAUGUGCUCGCAGUAUAGACAGAACGGUGGAUGUUUCUGAGCUACUGUGAUUUUGCAUGCUACUUCGAUUAGGAAGUGAGUACGGAGCAUACAAGGGUUUGUCGGCGUGCUAAUUUUGACAUUGACUUAUCCUUGAGGGCCAUACUGGUUUGCUUGUUGGCAUGUAUUUUUAUCAAGCGAGUGAAAGGGCGGCAAAUUGAUGGUUACAACAUGACGUGGAAUUGCUUUGCUUCCUGGAAUCCAAUUGGCUGCCCUAAAAAAUGUAUUGCAGCAACUUGAAUCCGGUAGUGUUAUUUUGUGUUAACAAGACCU